CGCCAUUUUGCAUAAAAGCGGAAAUCCUCUUCGGAUUUCUCUCAGCGAAAACAGGUGCUAACGGAGAGGUCUUUGUGUGUGAGGAUUGCCUGACAACUCCAGUGCAUUCGCCAAAGAGUAGUGCGCUUGCACUGAAGACAAUGACUCAAGCACAAACCAUCUUGGGAGCAGCUGUGUCUGUCUUUGUCCACAGAGCUUGGGAAGUGAAAAUUACACCCAGCCCAGCGUGCAAGCGAUGCAUUCUUAGCAAUGACAGCAGGAGGGACAUCCAGGGUCUGUGGAUAAAAUGACAGGUCGUGAUCCCAGGAUCCUGGCUUCGAGCCCCACAUCAGG